GAUGAACGCUGGCGGCGUGCCUAAUACAUGCAAGUCGAGCGAACGGACGAGAAGCUUGCUUCUCUGAUGUUAGCGGCGGACGGGUGAGUCACACGUGGAUAACCUACCUAUAAGACUGGGAUAACUUCGGGAAACCGGAGCUAAUACCGGAUAAUAUUUUGAACCGCAUGGUUCAAAAGUGAUAGACGGUCUUGCUGUCACUUAUAGAUGGAUCCGCGCUGCAUUAGCUAGUUGGUAAGGUAACGGCUUACCAAGGCAACGAUGCAUAGCCGACCUGAGAGGGUGAUCGGCCACACUGGAACUGAGACACGGUCCAGACUCCUACGGGAGGCAGCAGUAGGGAAUCUUCCGCAAUGGGCGAAAGCCUGACGGAGCAACGCCGCGUGAGUGAUGAAGGUCUUCGGAUCGUAAAACUCUGUUAUUAGGGAAGAACAUAUGUGUAAGUAACUGUGCACAUCUUGACGGUACCUAAUCAGAAAGCCACGGCUAACUACGUG
rnacentral:rRNA from 1 species